GAGUUUGAUCCUGGCUCAGGAUGAACGCUGGCGGCGUGCCUAAUACAUGCAAGUCGAGCGAACGGACGAGAAGCUUGCUUCUCUGAUGUUAGCGGCGGACGGGUGAGUAACACGUGGAUAACCUACCUAUAAGACUGGGAUAACUUCGGGAAACCGGAGCUAAUACCGGAUAAUAUUUUGAACCGCAUGGUUCAAAAGUGAAAGACGGUCUUGCUGUCACUUAUAGAUGGAUCCGCGCUGCAUUAGCUAGUUGGUAAGGUAACGGCUUACCAAGGCAACGAUGCAUAGCCGACCUGAGAGGGUGAUCGGCCACACUGGAACUGAGACACGGUCCAGACUCCUACGGGAGGCA
rnacentral:rRNA from 1 species